rnacentral:piRNA from 1 species
CUGCAAAGGGGUCACAAUUGGCAGAG